rnacentral:rRNA from 1 species
CAGCAGCCGCGGUAAUACGGAGGGGGCUAGCGUUGUUCGGAAUUACUGGGCGUAAAGCGCACGUAGGCGGCUUUGCAAGUUAGAGGUGAAAGCCUGGAGCUCAACUCCAGAAUUGCCUUUAAGACUGCAUCGCUUGAACGUCGGAGAGGUGAGUGGAAUUCCGAGUGUAGAGGUGAAAUUCGUAGAUAUUCGGAGGAACACCAGUGGCGAAGGCGGCUCACUGGACGACUGUUGACGCUGAGGUGCGAAAGCGUGGGAAGCAAACAGGAUUAGAUACCCCGGUAGUCCCUGUCUCUUAUAC